rnacentral:rRNA from 1 species
UGAGCAAUCUGCCCUUCUCAUCGGAAUAAGCGUUGGAAACGACGUCUAAUGCCGAAUACGACCUCCUUUCGCAUGAUCGGAGGUGGAAAGCUCCGGCGGAGAAGGAUGAGCUCGCGGCCUAUCAGCUAGUUGGUGUGGGUAAUGGCCCACCAAGGCUACGAUCAGUAGCCGGCUGAGAGGUNAUCGGCCACAUUGGAACUGAGAUACCGGCCCAGAUCCCGUAACGGGG